AGAGUUUGAUCAUGGCUCAGAUUGAACGCUGGCGGCAGGCCUAACACAUGCAAGUCGAACGGUAACAGGAAGCAGCUUGCUGCUUCGCUGACGAGUGGCGGACGGGUGAGUAAUGUCUGGGAACUGCCUGAUGGAGGGGGAUAACUACUGGAAACGGUGGCUAAUACCGCAUAACGUCGCAGACCAAAGAGGGGGACCGUUCGGGCCUCUUGCCAUCAGAUGUGCCCAGAUGGGGAUUAGCUUGUUGGUGGAGGUAACGGCUCCACCAAGGCGACGAUCCCUAGCUGGUCUGAGAGGAUGGACCAGCCACACUGGAACUGAGACACGGUCCAGACUCCUACGGGAGGCAGCAGUGGGGAAUAUUGCACAAUGGGCGCAAGCCUGAUGCAGCCAUGCCGCGUGUAUGAAGAAGGCCUUCGGGUUGUAAAGUACUUUCAGCGGGGAGGAAGGUGUUGUGGUUAAUAACCACAGCAAUUGACGUUACCCGCAGAAGAAGCACCGGCUAACUCCGUGCCAGCAGCCGCGGUAAUACGGAGGGUGCAAGCGUUAAUCGGAAUUACUGGGCGUAAAGCGCACGCAGGCGGUCUGUCAAGUCGGAUGUGAAAUCCCCGGGCUCAACCUGGGAACUGCAUUCGAAACUGGCAGGCUUGAGUCUUGUAGAGGGGGGUAGAAUUCCAGGUGUAGCGGUGAAAUGCGUAGAGAUCUGGAGGAAUACCGGUGGCGAAGGCGGCCCCCUGGACAAAGACUGACGCUCAGGUGCGAAAGCGUGGGGAGCAAACAGGAUUAGAUACCCUGGUAGUCCACGCCGUAAACGAUGUCUACUUGGAGGUUGUGCCCUUGAGGCGUGGCUUCCGGAGCUAACGCGUUAAGUAGACCGCCUUGGGGAGUACGGCCGCAAGGUUAAAACUCAAAUGAAUUGACGGGGGCCCGCACAAGCGGUGGAGCAUGUGGUUUAAUUCGAUGCAACGCGAAGAACCUUACCUGGUCUUGACAUCCACGGAAGUUUUCAGAGAUGAGAAUGUGCCUUCGGGAACCGUGAGACAGGUGCUGCAUGGCUGUCGUCAGCUCGUGUUGUGAAAUGUUGGGUUAAGUCCCGCAACGAGCGCAACCCUUAUCCUUUGUUGCCAGCGAUUAGGUCGGGAACUCAAAGGAGACUGCCAGUGAUAAACUGGAGGAAGGUGGGGAUGACGUCAAGUCAUCAUGGCCCUUACGACCAGGGCUACACACGUGCUACAAUGGCGCAUACAAAGAGAAGCGACCUCGCGAGAGCAAGCGGACCUCAUAAAGUGCGUCGUAGUCCGGAUUGGAGUCUGCAACUCGACUCCAUGAAGUCGGAAUCGCUAGUAAUCGUGGAUCAGAAUGCCACGGUGAAUACGUUCCGGCCUUGUACACACCGCCCGUCACACCAUGGGAGUGGGUUGCAAAAGAAGUAGGUAGCUUAACCUUCGGGGAGGGCGCUUACCACUUUGUGAUUCAUGACUGGGGUGAAGUCGUAACAAGGUAACCGUAGGGGAAACCUUGCGGUUGGGAUCACC
rnacentral:rRNA from 1 species